rnacentral:rRNA from 1 species
GUGGGGAAUUUUGCGCAAUGGGGGAAACCCUGACGCAGCAACGCCGCGUGGAGGAUGAAGUCCUUCGGGACGUAAACUCCUUUCGAUCGGGACGAUUAUGACGGUACCGGAAGAAGAAGCCCCGGCUAACUUCGUGCCAGCAGCCGCGGUAAUACGAGGGGGGCGAGCGUUGUUCGGAAUUAUUGGGCGUAAAGGGUGCGUAGGCGGUUUGGUAAGUCUGAUGUGAAAUCUAUGGGCUCAACUCAUAGUCUGCAUCGGAAACUGCCGGGCUUGAGUAUGGGAGAGGUGAGUGGAAUUCCUGGUGUAGCGGUGAAAUGCGUAGAUAUCAGGAGGAACACCUGUGGCGAAAGCGGCUCACUGGACCAUAACUGACGCUGAUGCACGAAAGCUAGGGGAGCAAACAGGAUUAGAAACCCCAGUAGUCC